rnacentral:rRNA from 1 species
AGGUAAGCUACUAAGAGCGAAUGGUGGAUGCCUUGACUGGUAAAGGCGAUGAAGGACGUACUAGACUGCGAUAAGCUACGGGGAGCUGUCAAGAAGCUUUGAUCCGUAGAUUUCCGAAUGGGGCAACCCAAUGUAUAGAGAUAUACAUUACCUAUAUAGGAGCGAACGAGGGGAAUUGAAACAUCUUAGUACCCUCAGGAAAAGAAAUCAAUAGAGAUUGCGUCAGUAGCGGCGAGCGAAAGCGCAAGAGGGCAAACCCAGUGCUUGCACUGGGGGUUGUAGGACUGCAAUGUGCAAGAGCUGAGUUUAGCAGAACAUUCUGGAAAGUAUAGCCAUAGAGGGUGAUAGUCCCGUAUGCGAAAAACAAAGCUUAGCUAGCAGUAUCCUGAGUAGGGCGGGACACGAGGAAUCCUGUCUGAAUCCGGGUCGACCACGAUCCAACCCUAAAUACUAAUACCAGAUCGAUAGUGCACAAGUACCGUGAGGGAAAGGUGAAAAGAACUGAGGUGAUCAGAGUGAAAUAGAACCUGAAACCAUUUGCUUACAAUCAUUCAGAGCACUAUGUAGCAAUACAGUGUGAUGGACUGCCUUUUGCAUAAUGAGCCUGCGAGUUGUGGUGUCUGGCAAGGUUAAGCAAACGCGAAGCCGUAGCGAAAGCGAGUCUGAAUAGGGCGCUUAGUCAGAUGCUGCAGACCCGAAACGAAGUGAUCUAUCCAUGAGCAAGUUGAAGCUAGUGUAAGAACUAGUGGAGGACUGAACCCAUAGGCGUUGAAAAGCCCCGGGAUGACUUGUGGAUAGGGGUGAAAGGCCAAUCAAACUUCGUGAUAGCUGGUUCUCUCCGAAAUAUAUUUAGGUAUAGCGUUGUGUCGUAAUAUAAGGGGGUAGAGCACUGAAUGGGCUAGGGCAUACACCAAUGUACCAAACCCUAUCAAACUCCGAAUACCUUAUAUGUAAUCACAGCAGUCAGGCGGCGAGUGAUAAAAUCCGUCGUCAAGAGGGAAACAACCCAGACUACCAGCUAAGGUCCCUAAAUCUUACUUAAGUGGAAAACGAUGUGAAGUUACUUAAACAACCAGGAGGUUGGCUUAGAAGCAGCCAUCCUUUAAAGAAAGCGUAAUAGCUCACUGGUCUAGUGAUUUUGCGCGGAAAAUAUAACGGGGCUAAAGUAAGUACCGAAGCUGUAGACUUAGUUUACUAAGUGGUAGGAGAGCGUUCUAUUUGCGUCGAAGGUAUACCGGUAAGGAGUGCUGGAGCGAAUAGAAGUGAGCAUGCAGGCAUGAGUAGCGAUAAUUAAUGUGAGAAUCAUUAACGCCGUAAACCCAAGGUUUCCUACGCGAUGCUCGUCAUCGUAGGGUUAGUCGGGUCCUAAGUCGAGUCCGAAAGGGGUAGACGAUGGCAAAUUGGUUAAUAUUCCAAUACCAACAUUAGUGUGCGAUGGAAGGACGCUUAGGGCUAAGGGGGCUAGCGGAUGGAAGUGCUAGUCUAAGGUCGUAGGAGGUUAUACAGGAAAAUCCGUAUAACAAUACUCCGAGAACUGAAAGGCUUUUUGAAGUCUUCGGAUGGAUAGAAGAACCCCUGAUGCCGUCGAGCCAAGAAAAGUUUCUAAGUUUAGCUAAUGUUGCCCGUACCGUAAACCGACACAGGUGGGUGGGAUGAGUAUUCUAAGGCGCGUGGAAGAACUCUCUUUAAGGAACUCUGCAAAAUAGCACCGUAUCUUC